CCUACGGGAGGCUGCAGUGGGGAAUAUUGCACAAUGGAGGGAACUCUGAUGCAGCGACGCCGCGUGAGUGAAGAAGUAAUUCGUUAUGUAAAGCUCUAUCAGCAGGGAAGCAAGUGACGGUACCUGAAAAAGAAGCUCCGGCUAAAUACGUGCCAGCAGCCGCGGUAAUACGUAUGGAGCAAGCGUUAUCCGGAUUGACUGGGGGUAAAGGGAGAGUAGGUGGCAGAGCAAGUCCGAAGUGAAAACCCAAAGCUCAACGUGGGAACUGCCUUUGAAACUGGCAAACUGGAGUGUGUGAGAGGAUAGUGGAAUGCCAGGUGUAGGAGUGAAAGCCGUAGAUAUCUGGAGGAACAUCAGUGGCGAAGGCGACUAUCUGGCACAUAACUGACGCUGAGGAGCGAAAGCGUGGGUAGCAAACAGGAUUAGAUACCCUAGUAGUC
rnacentral:rRNA from 1 species